AAGCUGAUGGUAAACAUCACUUU
rnacentral:snRNA from 1 species